rnacentral:lncRNA from 1 species
GUCCAUGAUCAUUGGUUCUGAGGUAGAGUUCUUGAUCGUUGAGUACUUAGGUGAUCCUUCUACUUUGGUGGGCUCUAUCUAUCUCCACGCUCUUCCCUUCUUGCCUUUAACCUUGUUGGAGUGCUGUAUAGUUCAUAGGCUUCCUCUACAUUGGCAUACUUUUCUAUCCGAGCUAGCAUCUUAGCGAAAUCCUUCGGAUACCUCUUUUUGAGCAAGAAGAGAAACUGAUACUUUUAAAAUCCACCAUUCCAAAUGGUCAUCACAACCAAC